rnacentral:rRNA from 1 species
AGGAAUUAGGCAAAUAAUAUAUUCACCUGUUUAUCAAAAACAUGUCUUUUUGUUUAAUAAUUUAAAGUCUAUUCUGCCCAUUGAUAAAAUUAAAAGGCUGCAGUAUUUUGACUGUACAAAGGUAGCAUAAUCAAUAGUUUUUUAAUUGAAAACUAGAAUGAAUGAGUUAAUGAAAUAUAAUCUGUCUUAAUUAAUAUUAUUGAAUUUUGAAUUUAAGUUAAAAUUCUUAAAUAUAAUUAAGGGACGAGAAGACCCUAUAGAAUUUAAUUAAUUUAUUAUAUAUUUAUAAUUAAUAUUUUUAAUUAUAUUAUAAUUAAUUUAAUUGGGAGGAUUUUUAAAUUUAAUUAACUUUAAUAUUUAAUAUUCAAUAAUUAUUGUAUUAAUAAAGAAUAUUUAUUAAAUAAUAUUAGAUUAAAUUACCUUAGGGAUAACAGCGUAAUAUUUUUGGAAAGAUCAAAUUUAUAAAAAUGAUUGCGACCUCGAUGUUGAAUUAAGAUAAAUUUUAAGUGCAGUAAUUUAAUAAUUAAGUCUGUUCGACUUUUAAAAUCUUACAUGAUUUGAGUUCAGAUCGGUGUGAGCCAGAUCGGUUUCUAUCUUUAAUAAAAUUAAAUAUUUUUGUACGAAAGGACUAAAUA